rnacentral:rRNA from 1 species
GAUAUGGCUCAGGAUGAACGCUAGCGACAGGCUUAACACAUGCAAGUCGAGGGGCAUCAUGAGGUAGCAAUACCUUGAUGGCGACCGGCGCACGGGUGAGUAACGCGUAUGCAACCUGCCUGAUACCGGGGUAUAGCCCAUGGAAACGUGGAUUAACACCCCAUAGUACUUUUAUCCUGCAUGGGAUGUGAGUUAAAUGUUCAAGGUAUCGGAUGGGCAUGCGUCCUA